AUUCCGGUUGAUCCUGCCGGAGGCCAUUGCUAUCGGAGUCCGAUUUAGCCAUGCUAGUUGCACGAGUUCACACUCGUAGCAUAUAGCUCAGUAACACGUGGUCAAGCUACCCUGCAGACACGGACAACCUCGGGAAACUGAGGCUAAUCCGCGAUACCGAUCCCACGCUGGAAUGCCGGGAUCCACAAACGCUCCGGCGCUGCAGGAUGCGGCUGCGGCCGAUUAGGUAGACGGUGGGGUAACGGCCCACCGUGCCGAUAAUCGGUACGGGUUGUGAGAGCAAGAGCCCGGAGACGGAAUCUGAGACAAGAUUCCGGGCCCUACGGGGCGCAGCAGGCGCGAAACCUUUACACUGCACGCAAGUGCGAUAAGGGGACUCCGAGUGCGAGGGCAUAUAGUCCUCGCUUUUGAGAACCGUAAGGCGGUUCUCGAAUAAGAGCUGGGCAAGACCGGUGCCAGCCGCCGCGGUAAUACCGGCAGCUCAAGUGAUGGCCAAUCUUAUUGGGCCUAAAGCGUCCGUAGCUGGCCACGAAAGUCCGUCGGGAAAUCCAUCUGCCCAACAGAUGGGCGUCCGGCGGAAACUUCGUGGCUUGGGACCGGAAGGCUCGAGGGGUACGUCCGGGGUAGGAGUGAAAUCCCGUAAUCCUGGACGGACCGCCGAUGGCGAACAGCACCUCGAGAAGACGGAUCCGACAGUGAGGACGAAAGCUAGGGUCUCGAACCGGAUUAGAUACCCGGGUAGUCCUAGCCGUAAACAAUGUUCACUAGGUGUGGCACAGGCUACGAGCCUGUGCUGUGCCGUAGGGAAGCCGAGAAGUGAACCGCCUGGGAAGUACGUCCGCAAGGAUGAAACUUAAAGGAAUUGGCGGGGGAGCACUACAACCGGAGGAGCCUGCGGUUUAAUUGGACUCAACGCCGGACAUCUCACCAGCUCCGACUACAGUAAUGACGAUCAGGUUGAUGACCUUAUCACGAG
rnacentral:rRNA from 1 species